rnacentral:rRNA from 1 species
UGCGGAAGGAUCAUUAUUGAAUAAACCUGAUGUGGCUGUUAGCUGGCUUUUUUGAAGCAUGUGCUCGUCCGUCAUCUUUAUCUCUCCACCUGUGCACAUUUUGUAGUCUUGGAUACCUAUCGAGGCAACUCGGAUUUUAGGAUCGCCAAAUUGGCUUUCCUUUCAUUUCCAAGACUAUGUUCUUAUUUACACCCAAAGUAUGUUCAAAGAAUGUUAUCAAAAGGAACUUGGUUCCUAUGAAAUUAUACAACUUUCAGCAACGGAUCUCUUGGCUCUCGCAUCGAUGAAGAACGCAGCGAAAUGCGAUAAGUAAUGUGAAUUGCAGAAUUCAGUGAAUCAUCGAAUCUUUGAACGCACCUUGCGCUCCUUGGUAUUCCGAGGAGCAUGCCUGUUUGAGUGUCAUUAAAUUUCUCAACCUUCCAGCUUUUAUUAGCCUGGUUAGGCUUGGAUGUGGGGGUUGCAGGCUUCAUUUAAUUGAGGUCAGCUCUCCUUAAAUGCAUUAGCAGAACUUUUGUUGACCGUCUAUUGGUGUGAUAAUUAUUUACGCCGUGGAUGUGAAGCAUUUUUAUAAAGUUCAGCUUCUAAUCGUCCAUUGACUUGGACAAUUUUGACAAUUUGACCUCAAAUCAGGUAGGACUACCCGCUGAACUUAAGCAUAUCAAUAAGCGGAGGAAAAGAAACUAACAAGGAUUCCCCUAGUAACUGCGAGUGAAGCGGGAAAAGCUCAAAUUUAAAAUCUGGCAGUCUUUGGCUGUC